CGCGUGUCUGACAGCGAGACCCAGAAGCUCAGAAGCCUUAUCGAAAACUGCUGGGUUAGUUCGAUAAUCGAUGUAUCAAUACUAUAGUAGUUAGCUUGAUAAAUAAAAGUAUUUUAUAUUAGUCGUAAAUAGUUUAUUGUAUUUACUAGAUUCAACGUAUAGCAUUUAUUCCACCCAAUACUGUGUUUUGUUUUUGCGUUGUGCUCUGGAGGCUACUUCCAUACUCAUGGAAAAGAUCAUUAAUUGUAAAAGAGAGGAUCUGGAAGAUUAUUACGGCUUGCUCGGGUGCGACGAGCUGUCAACGACCGAACAAAUUAUGACAGAGUAUAAAGUGAGAGCACUGUCUUGCCACCCUGACAAACAUCCAGAAAACCCUGAAGCUGCACAAGACUUCCAGAAGUUGCAGCAGGCCAAAGAUAUUCUCACAGAUGAGACCAAAAGAAGAAAAUAUGAUUACUGGUUGAGAAGUAGCAUCAGUGUGCCAUUUAGUGAAUGGCAGGCCUUGAGUGACACAGUUAAAGUUUCCAUGCAUUGGGCCCUUAAAAGCAAAAAGAAGCCAAUGUUAAAAGCGCCAGAAGACACAUCUGAAGUCCAGGCUGGCUAUACAGAAGCUCAAAUGGCAAUAGAGGAAAUAUUAUCUGAUGAACAACUUUCUUCAAGUGAUUAUUGGCAUCACAAAUUUCGGUGUUCAGGAGAUACUCCUUCAAGCCUCUUGAAAAAGUUUAGAAAUUAUCAAAUCUGAAGAAAUAUACAUAAGCUGGAUAGAUAGAUAUUUGUUAAAAAUGGGUUUGAUUAAUAUAUAAAUACAAUUAUUUUGUGAAUUGUUUCAUAUUGUGGAAUAAGCUAUUCCAAUUACUAGUACAUACUGUAGAACAUAUGUUAUUAUGCAUCCAUGCAUUUGUGCAGGUUCUAGGUUGUUGUUUUCUGAAAGUUAAAACAUUGGUAAAACAUAAUAUAAAAAUGUGUAAAUAAAUGUAUAAUUUAGUAGCUACUAACAGUGGUGUAAAGUAACAAAUUACAAAUACUCUCGUUACUGUAAUUAAGUAGUUUUUCUCAGGAAUUGUACUUUAUUAAGUAGUUAAAAAACAGUGUACUUUUACUUGAGUACAUUUUUAAUGCUGUAUCUGUACUUUUGCUGCUCUACUUUCCCUCAUUUUAAUUUUAUCCACCUGUUUCCUGGGGGCGCUGCUGUAAAAACAAUUAAAAUGUAUAACUUCUACUGGAAGUAGUAGCAGUGUUGAUUGACUUGCGCCACCGGCAAUGUGCUUUGUUUACAUGCAUAUUUUUUUAAGGUGUGAAUGCCAUUAAAACCACCAUGUGCUGUUCGUGGUUGCACUUAUAACCAGACAAAGCUUAAUUUGUGACUUAAUGCUAUAUACACAAGCCUAAAGUUAGAGCAGACUGCACUUGCGAGAGUGCUUGACAUGUUUUGUCUUGCCUGACUGCUUUGUAGUUUUUAUUACUCUUUAUUUUAUAGCUUACUAGUUAACGCCCAGAACAUGCUACUACUACUACCCUAAUACUAAUUGAAAUGACUAAUAAUAUAAUACAGUAAGCAUUAUCCAACGUUCUUACUGUAAAGGUGUUUGUAAUCUGCUGAGCUUGUAACAUUUCACUUUUUUAAAUUGUCCUCCCGUUCUUCUAUUAAGAAAGGGACAGGUAUGCUGAUGUUAUGCUUUUUAAGUUUUGUCAUUGUGAUUACACAUCUUGCUACGAGUGAAUGAAUGAGUAGUGACAUUGCAGAGAAUGAUUGUUUAUGUUCAAGCAAAGCAUCAUGGUCCAUUGGAAACAGGUGAAGACCUCUACAUAAUGGUUGUCAUAAAUGUUACCUGAUUAUUGUCUGCUUUUUCAAAUAUGGCAUGCCUGGAUUUUCAGUGCUAUCAGUCAAGAAUAAAACUGCUGAAGAAAUAGUUUUUUUUUUUACUGAGAAAUGAGAAGAAGAUUCAAACAGAAUGACACUGAGGUUGUUUUGCCAUGUCAGAGACCUUUAAUGAUAAACCAGAAGACACAGAACUAUCAUCAACAGGAUAAGAGCUUCAGUCUACAAAAUCAGAAUGUGUAGUUUAAUGCUGUAUUCACCAAGACUAGGGCAGAAAUACAAUGUAAUUUUAUUCAGUGGUGGGUAAAUAAAAGUAACAAAAAAGGUGACAGGUUUAGAAACUGCAUUCACAAAUGGAGAAACCGUCCCCAGCUGCACAGAGUGGCCUCCAAUCGAAGAGAACAUUAUCCAGAGGCAGGCCUGGACGAAGUGGGAAGAUCCACGGAGGGAAAAGGGGCAGGAACAGUGGUCACUGGAACCUCAGGAGCAUGUUUAACUGUACCGAGAGAGAGAGAGAAAACAUACAAAUAUCCCAGGUUACCAAAAACUCUAUAUCUAUGAUCCCACAAAACAUUGGUGAAAUGUAAAAUAGAAAUGUGUAAAUAAAUGUAUAGUCGAGUAGCUACUAAAAGUGGUGUAAAGUAAGAAAUUACAAAUACUCUCGUUACCUUUAUGGAGUAGUUUUUAUCAGGAAUUGUACUUUAUUACUAGUUUAAAAACAGUGUACUUUUACUUGAGUACAUUUCUAAUGCUGUAUCUGUACUUUUGCUGCUCUACUUUCCCUUAGCCUGCAAUUGCUGCUUUAUGCACCUGUUUCCUGGGGGCACUGCUGUAAAAACAAUUAAAAUGUAUAACUUCCACUGGAAGUAGUAGCAGUGUUGAUUGAUUUAUCCACCGGCAAUGUGCUUUGUUUACAUGCAUUUUUUUUUUUAAGUGGGAAUGCCAUUAAAAACCACAAUGUGCUGUUCAUGGUCGCACUUAUAACCAGACAAAGCUUAAUUUGUGACUUAAAGAACAGUGCUAUAUACACAAGCCUAAAGUUAGAGCAGACUGCACUUGCGAGAGAGCUUGACAUAUUUUGUCUUGCCUGACUGCUUUGUAGUUUUUUUUACUAUUUAUUUUAUAGCUUGUAUAAUGUGCAGAAUGAGUCAGC